GGCUUCGUAGCUCAGCUGGUAGAGCAUGCGCGUACAAAGCGUAGGCGGUGUCCAUGCGUGGGUUAAAGCCAGGCUACUGAAAUUUAGCUACAGCGGUGUCCAUGCGUGGGUUCCAAUCCGACCGAGGCUA
rnacentral:tRNA from 1 species